UCUCACGACUUGCGAGAUUGCAAUGAGCACAAUUUAAAUCUCUUAGCAAGGAACAAUUGGAGGGCAAGUCUGGUGCCAGCAGCCGCGGUAAUUCCAGCUCCAAUAGCGUAUAUUAAAGUUGUUGCAGUUAAAAAGCUCGUAGUUGAACUUCUGGGCGUUCUCACAGUGGCUCCGGUCGUUGUGAGGGCGUCCAUCCGUCUGAGAACUACAUUCGGCCUUCGCUGGUCGGUGUAGGGAUCAGGCAUUUUACUUUGAAAAAAUUAGAGUGUUCCAGGCAGGCAAUCGCCUUGAAUACACAAGCAUGGAAUAAUGGAAUAGGACUAUGAUUCAUUUUGUUGGUUAUUGGAUCAUAGUAAUGAUUAACAGGGACAGUUGGGGGCAUUAGUAUUUAAUUGUCAGAGGUGAAAUUCUUGGAUUUAUUAAAGACUAACUUAUGCGAAAGCAUUUGCCAAGGAUGUUUUCAUUAAUCAAGAACGAAAGUUAGGGGAUCAAAGACGAUCAGAUACCGUCCUAGUCUUAACCAUAAACUAUUCCGACUAGGGAUUGGUUGGGUUCCUUCAGCCCAAUCAGCACCUUAUGAGAAAUCAAAGUCUUUGGGUUCCGGGGGGAGUAUGGUCGCAAGGCUGAAACUUAAAGGAAUUGACGGAAGGGCACCACCAGGAGUGGAGCCUGCGGCUUAAUUUGACACAACACGGGGAAACUCACCAGCGCAAAACAUGGGUGGGAUUGACAGAUUGAGAGCUCUUUCUUGAUUCUAUGGGUGGUGGUGCAUGGCCGUUCUUAGUUGGUGGAGUGAUUUGUCUGGUUAAUUCCGUUAACGAACGAGACCUUAACCUGCUAACUAGUCUCUUCAUGUUAAAUGGGGAGGACUUCUUAGAGGGACUAUGAGUGCAAGCUCAUGGAAGUUUGAGGCAAUAACAGGUCUGUGAUGCCCUUAGAUGUGCUGGGCCGCACGCGCGCUACACUGAUACGUUCAGCAAGUUUUAUCCUGGUCCGGAAGGAUUUCGGGUAAUCUUUGUAAAGCGUAUCGUGCUGGGGAUCGAUCUUUGCAAUUAUAGAUCUUGAACGAGGAAUUCCUAGUAAGUGCAAGUCAUCAGCUUGUACUGAUUACGUCCCUGCCCUUUGUACACACCGCCCGUCGCUCCUACCGAUUCGAGUGAUCCGGUGAACCUUCUGGACUGCUGAGGUCUCGGCCUCGGUGGAAAGUUAAGUAAACCUUAUCACUUAGAGGAAGGAGAAGUCGUAACAAGGUU
rnacentral:rRNA from 1 species